rnacentral:tRNA from 1 species
GGCGGGUCACAAUCCGCCCCCUUAAGCCGGUCACCGCGUCGGGCUCAUAACCCGAAGGUCGCAGGGUCAAAUCCUGCCCCCGCUACCA